CACGGUCAGCCCUCAGUUAAGUAUUGCCUACUAUUAUGCGUUAGUGUUAACAGAGUGCCGAGAGGUGAUCUGCUCUGAGCUCCGAGCAGGAGUUGGGUGUGCCCUGCCGGACAAACCACAAGUUGGCCCUCUGACCCAGUGCACCCUGGGCCAGCUUCCCAGGGAAGGGGCAGCCCUCCAAGGAAGAAGGCAGUGGCCACAUCCCUGCCCUUUGAGGAGAUAUUCAGUCAAGAUGGAACGAUAAAGCGGGCCGGAUGGGGCCAUCUCUCAGCCUAAAGGAAAGCACUUCAGCAGCUCUGCAGAGGCUUCUGGAAGGGAGAAGUUGGCAUCUUCCCUCCUCUGACUGAAUCAGGUGGCAAAAUGGGAAAGGAUUGUGGGGAUUUGAGGAAAAUACUCUAAUGCCUGUCCCAGUUUUGUCACCAGCCUAUCUUCCUUUACCCCAAACACAUUUGACUUUUUCCCCUGGGUUUGCUGUGGCCUAGAGAGUGAACUUUGGAGUCAAAUAGACUUGCAUUUGAAUCCUGGCUCCACCUCUUCACAGCGCAGUGAAACACAUUUUUUAACUUCCCUGAACCCCAGGCACAGAGGACAAAUUGAUCAAGGGCCCUGCCCCAUAGAGCCAUCUUUUAGUGGAAGAGUAGUUAGCUUGCAACCUCACCCUUCGUUCACUCCCUCAUUCGCGCGCUCACAAAAACUGACUGAACACCUGUUAAGUGUAGGCACCAUUCAGGACGCUGGAGAUGAAGAUGUGAGCAAGACCGCCACAGUUCUUGCCCAAUAGGGUAAAUAAAUAAGCAGGGCAAUUAGACACUGGGAUAUGAAGGCAACGAACGUUUGUUGGAGGAGAGAGGACUGGGGGAGACCAGCACCCAGGGCUCAGUGUCUUCAGGGUCAGCCAGAAGGCCAAGGUGACAAGACCAGCAAGUGGGCGAGAAUGGUAUGAGAGUACAAGGCCAGAUCCUGUGGGGCAUUGUGGGCAGGGAUUUUAUUACACGAGUUCAGACUGUAUUGUAUGAGCAAGGGGGAGCCGUGGGAGGAUUUUAAACAGGGGGGGGUGACAUGAUUGAGGGAAGGUCAAGAGACCGCUGAGGAGGCUUUGCUUUGUCUGGCCAGUCAUGAUGGGCAUGGGCCCUGGUGGACAGAGGAGAGCCAUGUGACAGCUCUCGGUGAGGGGCUGUUUGUGGGGAGUGAGGCCACUGGAGAAGGCAGGCCUGAUCCUCAGGUGCGGCUGGAGCAGCUGGGAAACAGUGAUGCUCUUUGCUGAGGUAGGGAGGACCUGGGAG
rnacentral:lncRNA from 1 species